rnacentral:rRNA from 1 species
UCUUUUCAUUGUGUGCCAGCAGCCGCGGUAAUACGUAGGGGGCAAGCGUUAUCCGGAUUUACUGGGUGUAAAGGGAGCGUAGACGGCAAGGCAAGUCUGAUGUGAAAACCCAGGGCUUAACCCUGGGACUGCAUUGGAAACUGUCUGGCUCGAGUGCCGGAGAGGUAAGCGGAAUUCCUAGUGUAGCGGUGAAAUGCGUAGAUAUUAGGAAGAACACCAGUGGCGAAGGCGGCUUACUGGACGGUAACUGACGUUGAGGCUCGAAAGCGUGGGGAGCAAACAGG